rnacentral:rRNA from 1 species
UACGUAGGGGCCAAGCGUUGUCCGGAUUUAUUGGGCGUAAAGAGCUCGUAGGCGGUUCGGCAAGUCAGCUGUGAAAUCUCCACGCUCAACGUGGAGGGGUCAGCUGAUACUGCUGUGACUUGAGUCCGGGUAGGGGGAGACUGGGAAUUUACGGUGGUAGCGGUGAAAUGCGUAGAUAUCAGGAGGAACACCGAUGGGCGAAGGCAGGUCUCUGGGCCGCAACUGACGCUGAGGAGCGAAAGCGUGGGUAGCGAACAGG